CACCUCUGUAUUAUAAAAAAACCGACCAUCACUACCUGCUCUUAAAACACCUGCAAAAACACCAGCGGCAAUCUCCACCUCCGAUGAAGAAACCAUCGCUAGCUAGUCGACAAAGCCAAAGCAAAAAAAGAAAAGAAAAGCCCUUUUGCAGUACUGGGUUUAGCUUAAUAGCUAAAAAGAGAGCAAAGAUGGCGACGAAAGCAAGCGGCUUGAAACCGACGUCCAUAAAUGGAGUGAAGAUGUACAUGGUUUCUUCACGGCAACGUAAUCCUGCUUCGUGGGUUAGCUCCAAAAAGCAACGUCCUUCUCGCAAAGAUAAACAUUAUCAGUAAAAGAUAGAGUUGGUACAGGAUCUAACGUUUCCAACCGCUACGAGUAGAAUUAAAGUGACCCCAGAUGGAGAAUUUCUUAUUGCGUCGGGAAUUACCCACCGCAAAUAAAAGUGUAUGAGUUAAGAGAGUUUGCAUUGAAGUUUGAAAGACACUUUGAUUCUGAGAUAAUUGAUUUUCAGGUUUUCUGAAGUUUUAACAUACUGUUUCUAUGAAACCAUUGUAAUUCGCUCCUUGUGGCAUUGGCAGCCGUCAUCAUCUUUACUUGGGAGGAUGAGUGUAGAGUUUUGCCAUGAUUUUUGAUGCAUUACUGAGGCAAUGAUUUGUUUUCUGUUUGUGUAGAUAUUGGAUGAUGACUAUUCAAAGCUUGCAUUUUGAUGUGCUGAUCGUUCUGUUUGCCUACACGCCAAAUAUGGAAAACACUACACUUAGCGAAUUCCAAGGUUUAUAUUGAUGAUUUAUCAGUAUUUAUGCUUUUGUUUCAUAUUGUGAUUUGUUUUUUGUUUCAUGUAUUGCUACAUACAGCUAACCAUUUCCUUGACAUGCUAAUGUUAUUAUGCUUCUUGACUUCUCUGUCAGGUAGAUUUUAUGUUGUAUUAAAGGGAACAAAGGUAACAUAUGUAAGGCCCUCGUAGUUAAUGGAUGGUCCAAUAUAGUGCCUAGAGGUAGAGGGGAUAUAGAGGUUAUAAAGCAAGUAGUUAAUUUAGCCUUUACUGGCAUUUAUUAUCAUUUUUGUAUUGCUUAGUUGAUUUAUAUGAACAUAAUGAGAAGUGUGGUACAAACUUAUCGUAGUUGCUGACAUCAUAAUGAGGAUUUUUGUCUGAUAUGAAACUGAAAGAGGAAAGAAUUUUCUAAGCCCUGCCAGUAGUUGGAGUCUUGAUUUUAGGUGAUUCACAUUCAAUUAAAAGUUACAAACAUUUAUACACAUUGCACGGUGAUGAGAUAAUGUUGAAGAAUUUGAAAUGCAUUAAAGCUUGUUGAGAACUUGGAAAGCUCAUUUUGAUGUAAGGAUGUAUUAACUUGAAAUGCUCUACUGAGACUAGAUCGAAGGUCAUGUGACUCUUGGGUAGUGCCCAAUGUUUUAGUGAAUAAGUUACUCAUGGCAUGAACAUGAGUGCCUUGGGAGAUCAUAGAGGGAAAAACAGGUGAAUAUCCAACUAGGAUAGGGUUGAAUGAAACGUUUGACAGUUACUUCCAAACUUUUGGGAUUAAUUUUGUACCGUGCAUUGACUGCAUCAUAUAACUUUACGCUGGAGGAGUGCUUUAUUGCCUUUUGAUGAGAGGAUCUCACUCAAAAAUGAGAUACAAGAGGUUCGCUCUGUUCGCAGAAAGCGAAAGAACAAAGUGAGGCAAAUAAGGAACAAGUUCAGUGUCAGUAUGAGUCCUCUGCAGUGCCUCAAGUCUCUUCUUUUUCAAAUAAAAGAUGUAUCAAUAAUGAAAUGACAAGAAGUACAAUCACAUAAAGGACAAUAAGUCAACCAUCAAUCUAUUGGUGCAACGUAUUGCUAACUGAAAACAGUGGAUAGUCAUCCUUAAGUCUCUCUUAGUAAUUCAUAUGCUUUUUCAGUGGGUUCUUUGAUAUGCCAGUUGAACAUUUAUUUCUGGAUCAUAAUGCCAGGUCUAGGAAAAUCACUUUGAUUCAGUUGAUGAUGGAUUAGGAACUCUGCUUAUCAGUUUGUUUUUUGACUGAUAUCCAGUUUCACUUCUUUCCUUGGGAUGGGUCACCUCUUUAUUCAGUGUCAUCUCUGCCCAAGGGAUUGGUUUCCCUGAUUAUGCAUAUCUUGAAUUGAAGAUAGCAAACUCUCUUAGCUAGACUUCUCUUCCCUUUAGAUAGCAAAUUCUCUUGGCAUUCUGGAACCGCGUAUCACUUUCAGAGGAGGACUCUCUUCCUCUUGGAGAGAAAGCAGCAGCCCUUGGAGAUAACCUGCAGACCUUUGCCUGAAAUAACAUAAAGUUUGGACCAGGAGGAUCUCGUGAAAUUUUAUUCUCUACACGAAGCUCAGCCACAUACAAAGAGGGUGGGGGAUGACAGGACAAAGAAACACCGCGUGACAAGAGGAGUGGAAUCCAAUCAUUAGGGCUGAAGCCUGCUGGAUCAGGGUUUAGAGGCAAUAGAAGAGGAGGGAGUACUAGGGGGAGGGGUAGAAGAUGAGGCCGGCACUGAACAUCUUGUGUUCGGAUAAAAGUAAUGACUCACAUUCAGCUUUGGCUGUAUUGAUUUUGGAAGCUGCUUAUUGGUGAUCUGCAAACAACGAGCACAAUCACAAGAUGAGCUGGAAAAAUUUGUACAGUGAAAUUAUUCAAUUGAAUGCUUAGCUGUUGAGAUUUUGCUGUUGAUUUUUGUUUCUUCACCUCUAUAUAGAGAGAGAAAAAUUUCAUGGCCAUUUUUUCUCCCCUUCUGGAGGGGCAGUUUUGUUCGAGAGAGUUGCAACUUUUAACUGUACCAUAUAAACAAUACUUUUCUUUUUCUUGCAGAAGAAUUCUGCCUUUACCCUCUUUCAGCGUGGCAAAGAUGAAAACCCAGAUUGUAAUCAGUGUAGGCGGUGACAGUCCUCGGAGAUGUUCCUGAUCAAAAUAUUUCUUUCCAUGUUAUCAAUUUUGGUUUUUGAAGAUCAUCAUUCAUUGUCGUGGGAUUGGAAGUUCUUUUGCCGAUAGGAUAGAUCUACUGAGCAUACUCUGUACAUGCAUGGAGUAGCUAAAACACAUUAAUUUCUUUGGUUCAGUCGAAGGCAUUGCCUUCCUGCCAUUGGAAAAAAAGUAUCUAGAAUUUACCUCUUUCGAGAUGUGUAUCAUGUCAAGUGAUUUUACAAGCUAGCGACAAUAUGAUUUUGUAUAUCUCUGGCUAUGUUUACAUGAAUCAUUGAAUCUCUAAAGAGCAGUCUGAUCCA